rnacentral:rRNA from 1 species
CCUACGGGUGGCAGCAGUGGGGAAUAUUGGACAAUGGGGGGAACCCUGAUCCAGCCAUGCCGCGUGUGUGAAGAAGGCCCUCGGGUUGUAAAGCACUUUCAGUGAGGAAGAACGCCUGGUGGUUAAUACCCAUCAGGAAAGACAUCACUCACAGAAGAAGCACCGGCUAACUCCGUGCCAGCAGCCGCGGUAAUACGGAGGGUGCGAGCGUUAAUCGGAAUUACUGGGCGUAAAGCGCGCGUAGGUGGCUUGAUAAGCCGGUUGUGAAAGCCCGGGGCUCAACCUGGGAACGGCAUCCGGAACUGUCAAGCUAGAGUGCAGGAGAGGAAGGUAGAAUUCCCGGUGUAGCGGUGAAAUGCGUAGAGAUCGGGAGGAAUACCAGUGGCGAAGGCGGCCUUCUGGACUGACACUGACACUGAGGUGCGAAAGCGUGGGUAGCAAACAGGAUUAGAUACCCGUGUAGUC